CAGCCUGGGCAUGAGGAACAGGAUCUACAGGUGGUAUUGCUCCGGGGCCAAGUGCAGGGGCUCUGGAAUCAGAGACCUGGGUUCACACGCGUCCCCACCCAUCCUGGCUGUGAAGCCGGCCAAGGCGGUGGUCUCAGUCUCCUCAGCUGGAAAACGGGGAUGGCGAGACCCACCUCACGGGCUUGUGCCCACGCUAUCAAGUGCUUCCUGUUACCUGUCCUGUUGGCUGUAAUUCUUUUUAUUAAACCGAUCCUUUCUUCCUAGACUCCAGAAACACAACAAAAGGAUUUGUUGAGAAGACCAAGCUCACGCUCUGAAGGGGGCACCGCACAGAGCUUUCUCAGCACAUGGAGGGGUCCUGGCUGGGCCUCCACCCUCUCUCCCUAAGGCGCUGGUGUGACUCGCCGGUCCGGCCAGGGUGCAGGGGCCACCCUCAGCUCUUCCCCCGUUCCGGAGCCCCAGCACUGACCUCAGAGGAUGCUUAGUCUUCUUUUUUUUUUAUUUUUUAAGAUUUUAUUUACUUAUUUGACAGAGAGAGACACAGAGAGAGAGGGAACACAAGCAGGGGGAGUGGGAAAGGGAGAAGCAGGCCUCCUGACCGAGCAGGGAGCCCGAUGCAGGUCUUGAUCCCAGGACUCCGGGACCAUGACCUGAGCCGAAGGCAGACGCCCAACCGACUGAGCCACCCAGGCGCCCCGAGGAUGCUUAGUCUUAAGCCUGACCUGGUAGGUCCCGACUCUUCCUCAGCCGGCUUUCACGGGGCCUUCAUUUCCACUCAACGAGCCCUGCUCCUUGCCAGGGCCGGCCUUACUGAUCGCAGGGGAGCCUUGCAGGCUGGAGUCUGCUCAGACCCCCGCCUCCCGGAAGCCAGGCCAGGGCAGCCCCAGCCCCCUGGCGAUGCUCGCUGGAUCCACGGGGCCAUCAGAUGUUCUCUCCAGGGAAUUUGAGGCUUGAGGGGGAGAGACAGAGAGUCUGGGUGUCAAUGAAAUCGAGCCACAUUCAUGGCAGUGCCCUGGAGGGAAGGUUCCACCGAGGCCCAUGAGCAGCCAGCAUCCCGCCUGGUUACUCAGCUGUUCUCCGAGUUGGCAUGCGGCCCCACUCACCUCCUCCUGAGCGCCCUGGAGUGAAGAGUCCCAAAGACUGCCCUUCUUGAGGAGCAGCGUGGGGAUCGCUGCAGCUCCGUCGGGUCCCCAGCCUGGGUGGCUGUCCUGCCACCUGGGCUCCCCCUGCCGUCCCUGCCUUCCCUUACCCUUGUGGGUCAGGCGGUGGCGGCGGGAGCCGGCUAGACGCGGCACUUCCUGCUCCAGGUUCUGGAGCUAGCUGUCCCUGGCCCGGCUCUGGGGAAUUCCCAGUGUCACACUGCCGCACGCCUCUCGCCACCUCGCUGGAAGGCCUGGCACUCUCGGCCCUGCAGAACGCUGACGAGGGAUGCACAGAGGAGUUUCCUGCAGGCCUGGCGCGGGGAUGACGCGUCUCACGGAGGGGCUUCCCGGAGGUUGAUUUCUGAAACAUAUCGGACCCCCAAGUCCUUUUUGGUUGGGACCACCUUUGAGGCUGAUGUUCGGCGGAACACGCUGAGGAGGACAUGGAAGCAGGAAGGGAUGGGCGACAGCAGGGUGCAGGGGAGACUUCGAAAAGACGCGGAGAGGAUGAACCAAACACCGAGAAAGAGGGGCGCCCGGGUGGCUCAGUCCGUUAAGCAUCCAGCUCCUGAUUUCGGCUCAGGUCACGAUCUCGGGGUCCCGGGAUCGAGCCCUGUGUGGGGCUCUGUGCCGGGUGAGGAGCCUGCUUGAGAUCCUCUCCCUCGCCCUCGGCCCCUCCCCCGGCCCCUCCCCCACGAGCGCUGUCACUGUCCGAAAAAAGCAAAACCAAACGAAGAAAGAGCACACGAGAAGGCACCCAGCGCUUCCGACACGCCUGUGGGCCCAGGCUCAAGGAAGCCUGAGACGCGCCUCUGACCGAUCGUAUUAUUAUGACGCCCGUUGACGACCAGCGUUGGUGUAAGUACGUGGCUGGCCACGAAGCCGCACCUGAACUUGAACGCGAAGCGGAGAUGGGGCUGCCGGCCGUCCAGCAGCCCCGGCGUCCUCCGGCUGCCCUCACACAGCCUCGCGGCCCGGCCCGCCGCCCCGGGCGCAGCCCGCCAGCAGCCCCCGGCCCCGAAGUUGAUUUUUUUUUUUUUUUCCCCUCUUCUCCAAUUCAAAACGGUCUGCGUGGUCAUCUGGUUUGUGUGAACGUGUGUGUGGCUUAUUAAGAUGUUUUUUGGUAAAAUGAUUAUUUCCAGCUGACAUGAGUCUAAACCCGAAAACAUUUAAAAUAUAUAUAUAUAUAUAUAUUUUUUUUUUUUUUUUUUGAGUACAGUUGACACGCAAGAGAAAAAUCAAGCUGACCCCCGCCAGACCCAGGACGAGAAGGACGUCGGAAGAGGCCGGAAGCGGCGGCGGCGGCCGGACGGCGUCAAGAUGGCGGCGCGAGCGCCGGCCCCGCCGCGGCGCUGCGGCGCGACCCUCUCGACGCGACUGAGAAGAUCCGUAUUUUUUAAAGAUAUGUUAUCUAUUUAUUUGAGAGAGACAGAGAGAGUGCCAGAGAGAGCGAGAGAGAGCACAAGCAGGGAGAAGCGGGCUCCCGGCUGAGAGGGACUCGAGCCCAGGGCCCCGGGGCCACGGCCUGAGCCGAAGGCAGACGCUUAACGGUCGGCGCCCCCCAGGCGCCCCGGGAGAUGCGUAUUUAAAGCCUCUGCCAGGGGACUGGAAACUGCAGACCGAUAUCCUUCAGUAUCAGAGAUUAUGAGAACUAAAGGAUGCUGGAAAGUGAAAGGCAAACAGGUGGGAUUGAGCUGAAGGUAAAAACCGUAAGUGUUCCGAAAAGGAUGCCGGGAAGACAGGGGGCGGGGGUGGGGGGUCAGGUCCGGGGAGCUGACCAGGCGACAGGUGCCGUGCGGCGCGGACUGGCUCCUGCCCCAUCGACUGCACCCCGCAGCCGGUUGCAGAUGCCUUUCACGGACAGCAGAGAGAUAAGGACGAACUGGGGGGACGCAGGGCUCGUUUCCUUGGUAAACAAUGAGCCCUUUAUCAGUAGGAUAAAGGCCGACACCCAGCUGAAAAACUGGGACCCAGAUAGGAUCAGGCAGUUCAGAGAGAAUGAAAUACAGAGAACGAAUACCCAUAUGAAAAGGUUCUGGACCUCACUCAUAAUUAAAGAGAUGCUCAUUAAAACAAGGAGAUACCUGUGGUUCACCAUUAGCAAAAUUUGAAAAGACUGCAGGGCUCAGGGCUAGCGAGGGUGCGGGCACACAGGCUGACGCGAUGGAAACCAGCACAACCUUUCCGGAGGACAAUUUGACAUUAGCUAGCAAACGGAAUUUAAGGGACUGGAAGAAAAUAUGAUAAAAUAUAUUUUUUAUAUUCUUGGGGUGGGGAAAACCUUCCUAAAGCAAGACACAAAAUCUAGAAACCUUAAAGGGGAAAAUGGACAGAUUCGGCCUCAAAAAUUUAAAACAUCUGUAGCGCUAGAGACCGUAUCAACGAUAAAAGACAACAGGUGCAACAUGCAUAACGACCCUAAAAUAUAGAGAGGCCCUUCAAAGCAAAUAUAAAGCUUUAUAUUCCAAUAUAUAAAUGGUCGAAGGACAAGAACAGGCAACUCACAGGAGAAUUCAAAUGGCCGCUAGGUGAGAGGAACACGUAGGCUCACUAGGGAUCGGAGAAAUGCAGAUUUAAAAAUUGAUAAUACCUAGUAUUGGCCAGAGGAAAGGGGGUGCUCCUGUAUGCUGAGGUCAUUGUGUGCUGGUAGAGUCUUUUGAUGGGCCAUUGGGAGAACCUACCAACAUGUAAAAUGUGCAGAUAAUCUUCCAGGAAUCUAUUCUUUGGAAAGACCUGCUCAACUGCACAGGGCUAUGCGAACAAAUACGCUCAUCACAGGACUGUUUGUAUUCGAGAAACACUGGAGAUGAUCUAAAGAAUCAGAGGGUGGGAAGAGAAAGGCAGGUUCACUUUUUAUAUUUUCAUAUCUGAACUUUUUCUAUUUAAUAUUUUUUGAAUUGAUGUCCCAGUUGGGGGAAAUGCUGUGUGUCUGAUUUUCGGGAAAUUAUCAUGAGCUGAAAUUCCAGCACCUCCUAUCCCUAAACCCAUUCAUGUGUCCUUGAAAUCAACCCAAACAAGCUCUCAGGCACAGCCAGAACAGAGAGGGGAAGCAUCACUCAGAAUGUGGGAUCCAUAUGACCCAGCCCCUCCAAAUGGGAAGAGAGGAAGAAGCGGAUUCCCUUCACAUAACCCCUUAUCCCACCUAGCUGGGGAGGCUGAUGUGAGGUCAGGAUGUGACCAUAACUGCGUGGAGGCAGAAGGCAGCUCCUGGCACUGGCCUGUGCCUGGUGCCUGUAGCUGGGCUGAGCACUCUGCCCAGCCCAGGAGAAGGAACCAGAACAACAGCCCAAUCAUCCAGCAUCAGGUUCAGAAUUGCUUCGAGUAGAGCGAGGAAGAGAACUCUUAUCACCCCAAGUCAUGGGGGCAUCUACAGUGAGGUCACAUAGCUCGGGAGCCCAGGAGAACAAUCCAGGUAUAGGAAGAGCCAACACGCUAGUCAAGCCGGGCAGGUGGCAGGUCUUUGCUCUGCUCUCUCCCAAACAGCAUGGGUGACUCAGCCCUCCCGACAGUGCCCCUUUCUCUCUGCUUCCACCAUUUGGUCUCAUCUCACUCAUGACUCCCCUCUAUGUGAUGACUCCUACUCAAGGCUGAUAAUCCAAAUACCUAACAGCUACGAAAGCAUAGGCCCCCACCAGGCAAAAGAGACACCAGCUGCGAACAAUGGAGAGAGUUGGCAAAUUACCCCUAAACUCACUGGCCUAGAACAACAAACACUUAUGAUCUCACCCACUUAUGGGUCAGGAUUUGAAACUGCUUAGCUGGGUGGUUCUGACUCAGGCCCUUUCUGGAAGUUGUGGUCAAGAUGUCAGUUGGAGCUGUAGUCAUUUGAAGGCUUGACCGGGGCUGGAGCAUCUGCUUCUGAGCUGUCUCACAGGACUGUGGGCAGGAGGCUUCAGGGCCCCACCGUGGACCUCUCCAUAGGGCUGCUUGAGCAUCCUUACAACAGGGUGGCUGGCUUCCCCCGAGGGAGCGAUCUAAGAGAGCAAGGCAGAGUCACACUGUCUUUUAUGACCUACCCUCGAAAGUCACACACUGCCCUUUCUGCAGUAUCCUGGUGGGUGCACAGAUCAGCCAUACUCUGUGUGGAAGGGAUUGCACAAGGCUGUAAAUACCAGGAGGUGAGGAUCGGUGGGGGGCAUUCUGGAGCCUGCUCCCUCUCUGAAAUCCGCUAAUGGAUUUCCACCAUCCUUAGAACAAAACCUGAAUGCUUGCCCGUGGCCUGUGAGGCCUGGCAUGACCUGGUCCUUGCCUCCUUCCCAGGCUCAUCGUGUCCUUGGCCCACUUGCAUUAACCUCCAGACCCAGCAACCUCCCCUCUGUCCCUCAACAACCCAAGCUCAUCCUUCAUAUUUUACGCUCCCUCUGCCUAGAAGUCUCUUUACUAGAUCUUUGCAUGGUUGGUUCCUUCUUACCUUUCAGGUCUCAGUUCAAUGGCACCUCCUCAGACAGGCUUCCCUGAGCACCUUAUCAAAAAUAACCCCACCCCUGGGGUGCCUGGGUGGCUCAGUCGUUAAGCGUCUGCCUUCGGCUCAGGUCAUGAUCCCAGGAUCCUGGGAUCGAGCCCCGCAUCAGGCUCCCUGCUCGGUGGGAAGCCUGCUUCUCCCUCUCCCACUCCCCCUGCUUGUGUUCCUGCUCUCACUCUCUCUCUCUCUGUGAAAUAAAUAAAUAAAAUCUUUAAAAAAAAAAAAAAAAACCCACCCCUGCCUGGUUUUCUCUCGAUCACCUUGAGUGGUUUCUUCCCCCACUAUUACAAAUUUGUAGAUCCUGCAUGAAUGAUACAUAAUUUUUGAUUGGAUGUAUUUACAAACACAAUCAGUACCGAUGUCGUGCUGUCAAUGCUGUCAGGCUAUGUUUUUUCCUUUGUUUCCGUUAGAAAAACCUGUUCACAUCACCCUGUGCUCGCUUCUUCCCAGCACAGCACUGACUUCUAUCUGAAAUGAUCUUGUGUAUUGGAUUAUUGCCCUUCUCCCUUCACGUGCCGAUGAGAACUCUUGCUUAUAGGCCACGGACUUCUUCCUAGCUAAUUUAAUCUGAAGAGGAAUUUGUUAAAGGAUAGUAAGCACCUCAAAAACUGCCAGGAAGGGCAGAUAGCCAGGCUUGGGGGUCAUUUGCGUGGAUCAGUCCUUCCAUGAGCCACAUGCACAUACCGCUGUUGCCCAGGUGGGCACUUGAAGCUGGAGACCCCCGUUGGGCUGCCUGCCGCUGCCGCCUCUGGCAGCCAGAUGGAUCUGCUGUAUUCUCCAGAGAAGGUUCCUUGGCACCUGCUUCUCAGUGACCCUUAGCCUCGUGCAGGUGCACCUCAUUGGUGGCAUUUUGUGUCACAUGCUCUGCUCCAUCUGCAGUCGAGACUGGGAACUUAACCUGAUUUCCACCAUGGGGAGCUGUGAGUUCAUAAGGUGGGGAAUUCUCAAAACCAAGAAAGAGGGGCGCCUGGGUGGCUCAGUUGGUUAAGCGACUGCCUUCGGCUCGGGUCAUGAUCCCAGGGUCCUGGGAUCGAGUCCAGCAUCGGGCUCCCGGCUCAGCAGGGAGCCUGCUUCUCCCACUCCCCCUGCUUGUGUUCCUGCUCUCACUGUCUCUGUCUCUGUCAAAUAAAUAAAUAAAAUCUUUAAAAAAAAAAAACAAGAAAGAGUAUUCCAUGGUUUGGGGAGGCCAAAGUGAAUUGAUGACCUAGAUCCUCCACAGUCUCCUUCACCUCAUCAUCAACUCUUCUUUCCCACUUAAAACUUACAAACAACAGCAAAACCCAAUAGUGAGCCAAGAGCUGUUUCCCAAAAGGAAAAUAGUUACUUGUGAAAAGAGUUCACAGCUUUGCUCGAAAACUUGAGGGCUUUCUGCCAUUCUCUGACCAUCUUGCUCAUGUUUUUAUUGCUUGCCUCUGGGUAGGUGCUGUGAGAACAGGGACCCUGUUUCUCUCUGUAUCCUCAGUACCCGGAAUGGCGCCUGGCACCUCCUGGGAGCCCAUAGAUGUUAAGUUAAUGAACUGUGUACACGAUGUCCCCUCCCACGUUGAGUAAGGCUGACCUGCAGAGAUGACAGUGCGUGACUUUCAAACCUCAGCUCCUUUGGCUAACCGCCUUAUUCUUUGGCUGUGCCCAAUUUCAGGUUCCAGAGAGGAGGAAUCCGAUCGGUCAUCUUGUCUAUUUGUACCAAGCCAUCGAUUGUCAGGAGGGCCUAUAAAUUAGAGGCUCCGGGGAGAGAUGUCUGCCGACAUCAGCCCAUCAGAAGGGACUGCGAGAUCCCAAGAUGUGUGUGAGGUGCUCACGUGUCUAGUACAGGGGGUCACAUCUCAUCUGAGGAUGGCAUUCUCAUCUCUCCAUGUAAGACAUUGUGGCAUCUAGUCAAAGUCCCUUACAUUACCACAAAUUUCUCUCCAGAACCACACCCACUUCGGAAAACUCCAGCUCAGCGUGUUUCCCUUCCAAGUGGGGACAGAUGGCUCCUUCUCUGGUGGAGCACCAGGCAGAGCUGGAUUGUCUUAUGGGUCGUGUGGUAUGGAGAGCACACGUGAGAUGCUCGCAGUGUUAGAGGCACGGGGGGCCCGACCCACUGACAAAGCACGGAUGCCCAUCACACCUUCUUCCCGUUGCUCCCUGAGGGACACCUGCCGUGAGCCAUGGAACGCGGGACCUCAGCCCUAAGGCAACAGUCACAGCCUGAGACCAUGGAGUGAAAACCACAGAGUCCUUGAGGGAAUGCGAGGCCCCCAGGACUCCUGAAGCCUGGAAGACAAUGGGAGGUGAUCUCCAAUGGGGCCGCAGAGAAGCAGAGAAUCGGCCUCAUGGGGCCUUUGGCGAAGGCAGAGGUUAAAGGCCACCUGCAGAGGGAGAGCACUUCCUCCCUCCACCAACACUUUGGGAGCACCCUCGAGCCCUGCCUGCCCUGUUCUUUCUCUCAGGCCUGGAGCCACAAGGGAAGGAAGACUGAAUCAGCGCUCAGAGCAGGGUUGGCCUCGCUGCCAGGACGUUGUCAGGCCUGGCAGGGCAGCCUCGACCCUCCCCAGAGGUCCACUGGGGAGGUUGCCGCCCAACCCACUCCUGGCAGCUGCAGCUCUGGGACCCUGCAGGCCCCUUGGCCCCGGGUGGUGACCCACAGAUGGUCUUCCCAGAACCUAUGAUCACGCUGUGCCCCGGGGUGGGCUCAGGCUGGGCACCCCUUCACCCCGGCAGAGUUGGGGCAGGGACGCUGGAGGCCGUGGAGAGCUUCGUGGUGAUGAGGUCCUCAGAGUCCGGCCAGCGUGUCUGUGUUCAUUAUGAUGUGGAACGGGCAGCCCGGUCCCUCUCCCGGAUCCCCUGUGGCCCCCGCCCUCCAGAGCUCGGCUCCUGUGGACCUGGAAAAGCCUUCUGUCCUUCCGGAGGUGGUGACCAAGGCAGAUCUCUACACAGAGCAAUCGUUUCCGGCUCUCCGAGGCUCUGGAACACAUCACCCCGCCCAUACACAGUAAGAAAGUAAGCAGUACUUUUUGUACCUUGGGGACAAAAAUAAAAACCCAGCCACUUAAGUGUUACUCUUGCAGCACCAUUGUCUUAAUGACUAGGGGAAAAAAAAUACCAUUGUCUGAACAAAGGGGCAUAUUUGGGGAGUUUUAUUAUACUGACUGACAUGCUUAAUUCCCAGGUCUCUGGGGGAAAGAACGCACCGAGUGUUCCCCUCACCCCCACCCCCACCCCCCCAAAAAAGGAUAAAAAUAGAUUACCAGAACAGACGCAAAAUAGCAGCCCCAGCUCCCUUCCAUGGCAAGCACUGUCUGGUGACUGACUCACCCAGGGACUCUUCCGAAAGGGACAUAGUCCCGUCCGUUAGGUUAAGAGGAAAGGAUGAUGCGCCUGCCGGUGGCGGGACCAGCUCGGGGAUGCUGGCGGAGAGCAGCCAGGCCUGGGGACAGGGGGAUGUGUGGGGAGCCAAGGCCAGUCUUCUGUCCCUUUGUCUUCUCUGUCUAUGCGUCUGUCUCUGUCUUGCUGUCUCUCUGUCUCCUGGUCCCUGUAGGUGUCUGCCGGCUGGCCUCUCUCAGGACACGAGAUCUGUCCUCUCUGCUUGCCCAGAGCAUCUGCUUUUCCUCUCUCCCUCUCUUUUUUUUUUAAGAUUUAUUUAUUUGACAGAGAGACACAGCGAGAGGGAACACAAGCAGGGGGAGUGGGAGAGGCAGAAGCAGGCUUCUCACAGAGCAGGGAGCCCGACGCGGGGCUCGAUCCCAGGACCCUGGGACCACGACCUGAGCCGAAGGCAGACGCUUAACAACUGAGGCACCCAGGUGCCCCUCCUCUCUCCCUCUCUUUGCAGAGUGGCUUUCUCAUCUCUGCUGAACCACGACGGUUCUUUUCAUGACCCUAACAAGUUUGGUGCCUACACUAGCUGACCUGGUCUCCAGGUGUCCCGGGUCCGAAUCCGUAGGAUAGGGAGGGAGGUUGGCUCAGCCUCCGGAGCACUUCCUCUGGGCCAGCCCUCCCCACUGUCCUAUGGUUCUGGGAGCAUGCGUGCUGGGGCACGGGGCAGGGAACAGCAGGACCCCCUCUUGGGAACGGUGGUAGGUGUGAGAGUUCUCAGAUACAGGGGCAAACCCUGGGGAUACACCUCCAAAAAGUCUUCUAUGUUACAAACCCCACAGAAGAGGUGUUCUUGGAAAUCUCUGGGGCGGACCCCACAUGUAAUGCUCCCUUUUGCAGGUUUUAUAAAUAUAUACAAAUUUCUAAGGCUCAAAAAAGACAUGUUUCACAUG